rnacentral:rRNA from 1 species
GACGUAGGGCGCGAGCGUUGUCCGGAUUUAUUGGGCGUAAAGAGCUCGUAGGCGGCUUGUUGCGUCAGCUGUGAAAACCCGCAGCUCAACUGUGGGCUUGCAGCUGAUACGGGCAGGCUUGAGUUCGGUAGGGGAGACUGGAAUUCCUGGUGUAGCGGUGGAAUGCGCAGAUAUCAGGAGGAACACCUAUAGCGAAGGCAGCUUGCUGGGACGUUACUGACGCUAAGGCGCGAAAGCGUGGGGAGCGAACAGG